UACGUAGGUGGCAAGCGUUGUCCGGAAUUAUUGGGCGUAAAGCGCGCGCAGGUGGUUUCUUAAGUCUGAUGUGAAAGCCCACGGCUCAACCGUGGAGGGUCAUUGGAAACUGGGGAACUUGAGUGCAGAAGAGGAUAGUGGAAUUCCAAGUGUAGCGGUGAAAUGCGUAGAGAUUUGGAGGAACACCAGUGGCGAAGGCGACUAUCUGGGCUGUAACUGACACUGAGGCGCGAAAGCGUGGGGAGCAAACAGG
rnacentral:rRNA from 1 species